rnacentral:rRNA from 1 species
CAAGUCGAACGGCAGCACGGGAGCUUGCUCCUGGUGGCGAGUGGCGAACGGGUGAGUAAAGCAUCGGAACGUACCUUGUCGAGGGGGAUAACGCAGCGAAAGUUGUGCUAAUACCGCAUACGUCCUGAGGGAGAAAGCGGGGGACCGCAAGGCCUCGCGCGAUGAGAGCGGCCGAUGUCAGAUUAGCUAGUUGGUGAGGUAAAGGCUCACCAAGGCGACGAUCUGUAGCGGGUCUGAGAGGAUGAUCCGCCACACUGGGACUGAGACACGGCCCAGACUCCUACGGGAGGCAGCAGUGGGGAAUUUUGGACAAUGGGCGCAAGCCUGAUCCAGCCAUGCCGCGUGAGUGAAGAAGGCCUUCGGGUUGUAAAGCUUUUUCAGACGGAAAGAAAUCGGGCGCGUGAAUAGCGUGCCUGGAUGACGGUACUGUCAGAAGAAGCACCGGCUAACUACGUGCCAGCAGCCGCGGUAAUA